AAGUCGUAACAAGGUCUCCGUUGGUGAACCAGCGGAGGGAUCAUUACCGAGUUUACAACUCCCAAACCCCUGUGAACAUACCUAUACGUUGCCUCGGCGGAUCAGCCCGCCGGAGGUACCCAAAACUCUUGUUUAACUAAAAGGCCUCUCUGAGUACUGUACUUAAAUAAGUCAAAACUUUCAACAACGGAUCUCUUGGUUCUG
rnacentral:misc_RNA from 1 species